rnacentral:rRNA from 2 species
AAGCUGCAUGCGAAAGUGUGCUCGUGCUACUUUGACCUAGCGGCGGACGGGUGAGUAAUGCUUAGGAAUCUGCCUAUUAGUGGGGGACAACAUCUCGAAAGGGAUGCUAAUACCGCAUACGUCCUACGGGAGAAAGCAGGGGAUCUUCGGACCUUGCGCUAAUAGAUGAGCCUAAGUCGGAUUAGCUAGUUGGUGGGGUAAAGGCCUACCAAGGCGACGAUCUGUAGCGGGUCUGAGAGGAUGAUCCGCCACACUGGGACUGAGACACGGCCCAGACUCCUACGGGAGGCAGCAGUGGGGAAUAUUGGACAAUGGGCGCAAGCCUGAUCCAGCCAUGCCGCGUGUGUGAAGAAGGCCUUAUGGUUGUAAAGCACUUUAAGCGAGGAGGAGGCUACUUUAGAUAAUACCUAGAGAUAGUGGACGUUACUCGCAGAAUAAGCACCGGCUAACUCUGUGCCAGCAGCCGCGGUAAUACAGAGGGUGCAAGCGUUAAUCGGAUUUACUGGGCGUAAAGCGCGCGUAGGCGGCUAAUUAAGUCAAAUGUGAAAUCCCCGAGCUUAACUUGGGAAUUGCAUUCGAUACUGGUUAGCUAGAGUGUGGGAGAGGAUGGUAGAAUUCCAGGUGUAGCGGUGAAAUGCGUAGAGAUCUGGAGGAAUACCGAUGGCGAAGGCAGCCAUCUGGCCUAACACUGACGCUGAGGUGCGAAAGCAUGGGGAGCAAACAGGAUUAGAUACCCUGGUAGUCCAUGCCGUAAACGAUGUCUACUAGCCGUUGGGGCCUUUGAGGCUUUAGUGGCGCAGCUAACGCGAUAAGUAGACCGCCUGGGGAGUACGGUCGCAGCACUAAAACUCAAAUGAGUUGACGGGGGCCCGCACAAGCGGUGGAGCAUGUGGUUUAUUCGAUGCAACACGAAAACCUUACCUGGCCUUGACUAUUAAGACUUUCGAGAGAUGAAUAGUGCCUUCGGGACUUACAUAAAGAGCUGCAUGGCUGUCAGUAGCUCAUGUCAGAAGAUGUCCGCUAAGUCCAGUGGAUCACAACAAUUUCCUCAUUGCAGCGAGUAUGUCGGGAACUUAAGGAUACUGCCAUUGACAACUGUACGCAGCCGCGACGACGUGAGUCUCAGGCCGUACGUCAGGCCUGCCCGUGCACAUCGUCCGAUACAUGGAUGGUUCCUCGCAGUGUGUGCUUAUUUCCCAA